rnacentral:rRNA from 1 species
AUUGAACGCUGGCGGCAGGCCUAACACAUGCAAGUCGAACGGUAACAGGAAGAAGCUUGCUUCUUUGCUGACGAGUGGCGGACGGGUGAGUAAUGUCUGGGAAACUGCCUGAUGGAGGGGGAUAACUACUGGAAACGGUAGCUAAUACCGCAUAACGUCGCAGGACCAAAGAGGGGGACCUUCGGGCCUCUUGCCAUCGGAUGUGCCCAGAUGGGAUUAGCAAGUAGGUGGGGUAAUGGCUCACCUAGGCGACGAUCCCUAGCUGGUCUGAGAGGAUGACCAGCCACACUGGAACUGAGACACGGUCCAGACUCCUACGGGAGGCAGCAGUGGGGAAUAUUGCACAAUGGGCGCAAGCCUGAUGCAGCCAUGCCGCGUGUAUGAAGAAGGCCUUCGGGUUGUAAAGUACUUUCAGCGGGGAGGAAGGGAGUAAAGUUAAUACCUUUGCUCAUUGACGUUACCCGCAGAAGAAGCACCGGCUAACUCCGUG